rnacentral:rRNA from 1 species
UGGGGAAUUUUGGACAAUGGGCGAAAGCCUGAUCCAGCAAUGCCGCGUGUGUGAAGAAGGCCUUCGGGUUGUAAAGCACUUUUGUCCGGAAAGAAAUCCUUGGCUCUAAUACAGUCGGGGGAUGACGGUACCGGAAGAAUAAGCACCGGCUAACUACGUGCCAGCAGCCGCGGUAAUACGUAGGGUGCAAGCGUUAAUCGGAAUUACUGGGCGUAAAGCGUGCGCAGGCGGUUUGCUAAGACCGAUGUGAAAUCCCCGGGCUCAACCUGGGAACUGCAUUGGUGACUGGCAGGCUAGAGUAUGGCAGAGGGGGGUAGAAUUCCACGUGUAGCAGUGAAAUGCGUAGAGAUGUGGAGGAAUACCGAUGGCGAAGGCAGCCCCCUGGGCCAAUACUGACGCUCAUGCACGAAAGCGUGGGGAGCAAACAGGAUUAGAUACCCUGGUAGUCCACGCCCUAAACGAUGUCAACUAGUUGUUGGGGAUUCAUUUCCUUAGUAACGUAGCUAACGCGUGAAGUUGACCGCCUGGGGAGUACGGUCGCAAGAUUAAAACUCAAAUGAAUUGACGGGGUCAUAGCUGUUUACU